rnacentral:rRNA from 1 species
UACGUAGGGGGCAAGCGUUGUCCGGAAUUACUGGGCGUAAAGCGUGCGUAGACGGUUACGUAAGUCAGAUGUGAAAGCCCCGGGCUCAACCUGGGAAUUGCAUUUGAGACUGCGUAGCUAGGGUGCGGAAGAGGGAAGCGGAAUUUCCGGUGUAGCGGUGAAAUGCGUAGAUAUCGGAAGGAACACCAGUGGCGAAAGCGGCUUCCUGGUCCAGCACCGACGUUCAGGCACGAAAGCGUGGGGAGCAAACAGG